GUUUUUAUAGUUGAACUACAACGGUGGUUUUUCAUAUCAUUAGUCCUGGUUAAAAUCCGGGUAAAAAUU
rnacentral:tRNA from 1 species